GAUGAACGCUGGCGUCGUGCCUAAUACAUGCAAGUCGAGCGAACGGACGAGAAGCUUGCUUCUCUGAUGUUAGCGGCGGACGGGUGAGUAACACGUGGAUAACCUACCUAUAAGACUGGGAUAACUUCGGGAAACCGGAGCUAAUACCGGAUAAUAUUUUGAACCGCAUGGUUCAAAAGUGAAAGACGGUCUUGCUGUCACUUAUAGAUGGAUCCGCGCUGCAUUAGCUAGUUGGUAAGGUAACGGCUUACCAAGGCAACGAUGCAUAGCCGACCUGAGAGGGUGAUCGGCCACACUGGAACUGAGACACGGUCCAGACUCCUACGGGAGGCAGCAGUAGGGAAUCUUCCGCAAUGGGCGAAAGCCUGACGGAGCAACGCCGCGUGUGUGAUGAAGGUCUUCGGAUCGUAAAACUCUGUUAUUAGGGAAGAACAUAUGUGUAAGUAACUGUGCACAUCUUGACGGUACCUAAUCAGAAAGCCACGGCUAACUACGUG
rnacentral:rRNA from 1 species